rnacentral:sRNA from 1 species
AUGGAAGAAGAAGUCAUCCUGCUCACACCCGAGUCACAGUACAACGGCAAAGGCAGAUGUUGGGAGGAGCAUUACUUUGUCUAUGUCUCGGCACCUUCAUACAGCUUGUGCAGUAGAUGUAGAAAAAAUAUAACCCAGGAAAUGAAAUGGUGCGAGUGCUGUAAAGAUGCAUCUUCUGCUCAGAUUUGCCAAAUUACCUCAGAUGACACCCCUGAAGCAACCUCACAGACAGAUGAAUCGACAACAUAUACUUUGUCACAAGAAUCUAGCUGGAGCACUUCCUUAGAAGGACAAAUACACCUCACAGAUGGAAUAGAAAAUCUGAACAACACCUUGAUGUCUCUAAGUGGUGGCCAAGUAAGCCCAAUAAAGUUUCAGCUGAAAACUCCAUUGAGGGAGGUCCAGUCUAGCACAAGAAGAUAUUUAAAAAGGAAGGCCAAGGAGGUAGUGCAUACAGUUCUCAAUCAUUUGGCUCCAGGACAAUCCAGUGAUAUGUUCCAGUUACUUUAUGAAGACAACUGUCAUAAGGAUACAGAGCAAAGUGAUAAAACAGAACUUGAAAUCACUGAUACAAUUCAUCAACUCUAUUGUGAAGCUGAAAACAAUGCUCUCAAACGUCAACUUCUGUCCCUGCUGUCCUUGCCGAAUGCACAUAGUAAAUCGAAACUUCAGAAACUCAUUCCAGGACUUACAAAGUGGGAAAUGGAUCAAAAUCGAGCACAUGCUGCAUCUCAUGGAGCAGGUUCUUUAUUAGGACCUGUGGAACCAGGAUACCGGCAUCGCAUGAACAAAGAAAAGCUGGAGCAUGCUUUAUCUUUUUUCUUGGAUCCAAAAUUUCAUCAAAUUUGUUCAUAUGGAACAAAAGAUUUGCAUUGUGACAAUGGACAGACUGUCACCAUACCCCAAGUAGUGAGGACAACAUGCUACUCUUCUCUCCUACAAAUGUACAAGUCAUACUGCUCUGAAACAGGUUUUGUUCCUUUGUCAGAUUCUACUCUGUACAAAAUUCUGUCUACAUGCUCUGCAAGUAAGAGAACCAACCUAACAGGUCUAGACAACAUUGCCACUGAUGGUGCUGCAGCUGUAGAUGAUCUAAUAAAAAUGUGUGACCAAUUAAAAGGAUUAGGAUCUGAAACAAAUACAGUUGCCAAUCUCACCACUGCCUUAAAAUCCCUUAAGAUGUACCUCAAGUCAGAAUAUAAAUUUAGCGUGGGACUAUCUAGUGGAUGCCAAGAUCAUUGUUUGAAGUUUGCUUUGAGUCACCCAACCAAUGUGCUGUUGCAGGAAGAAUGUGAUCAUUCCCAUGAAGAAAUUUGUGGAAAAUGCAACAUCCUCAAUGAAAUUAACAGUGCCUUGUUUAAUGAAAUUCAAAAUAUCAGAACAUCUGACAUAGCAGAAGAGUUAGCAUUAACAGCAGAGAAAGCUCUUGAGAAAAUAUCAGAUUGGAAAGCCCACAUACUAAGGACUCAGAACCAAGAAGAGGGUAGAUAUAGAGCAUUAGAAGAGCUGCAGCCACACCAACUUCUGAUUAUUAUGGACUGGGCAAUGAAGUUCCUUCCUGCACUUUAUAGAGAAAAGCAGUCAGAUUUUAUUGGACAAAAAGGCAUGAGCUGGCAUGUUGAUGUUGCUAUAUUUAGAGCAGAAGAUGGAUCUUUGAAGCACAAGACAUUCAAUCACAUUUUUGGAGCAGUGAGGCAAGAUUGGUUUGCUGUUGCAUCAGCCAUUGAGCACAUCCUAAAGAGUAUAAGAGUACAAAUGCCUGGAAUUGAAGAAGUUUUUUUACGAAGUGACAAUGCAGGUUGCUAUCACUGUGGGUGCCUGUGGCUGAGCAUGCAUGGAAUUAGUGAAAGAACAGGUAUCAGCAUUGUACGCUAUGACUUCAGUGAACCUCAGGCAGGAAAAAGUGUUGGCAAAAUUGACCGGAUUUUUACUUUCAUCCGUGUUUCACACCCAGCUGCUUCCAACAUGGCUGACGAUAACGGGGACGUCAUCUUUAUCGUACAUCACUUGUGUAAUGAAAAAGUCAAACUGUAA